rnacentral:tRNA from 2 species
GGGGAUGUAGCUCAGUUGGUUAGAGCGCUUGACUGGCAGUCAAGAGGUCGUGAGUUCGAAUCUCAUCUUCUCCACUA